rnacentral:tRNA from 1 species
UGCCCCGUCGCCAAGUGGCAAGGCAUCGGUUUUUGGUGCCGACAUUCGUUAGUUCGAAUCUAACCGGGGCAGCCA